GGCCGUACAUAUCUCUGCCUGGAGCCAGGCCUGAUUCUGCCCUGCUGAUUGGAAUAUUGGACUUGGAGGUGUCCAUUCUGAUUCCGAAGUCUGUUCCUGUCUCCUGGCCUGUGCCAAACUCUCUUUCCUUAAAGGAUUGCUUUGGCCUUCCUGGAGUUUGUGGAGGAGAAGAAAGCAUCAGAGUGUCUAGCCAAUGCGAGCUGCCCACUGCCCAGGUGGAGAUUGAAGAGAAAAGAACCCUGUUACCUUCUCUAAAAAUCCCAGCUGCCCAGAACUCACCAUUAUCCAGUCACCAUGCACUUUCACAUCAUCUCUUCUGCCUUGUCCUGGGGCCCAAAGAACUGAAUCACAGUAUCACUAGGUGGGCGGGUGACGAAUGGGGUGUGUUUAGAAAUGUCAUCUGUCCGGGAGGAGAUUACAAAGGCCAAGUGGAUGAAAGCCACUUCCAUUCGUCUUAACAGUAGUGUAUGACAGCUUCUCAAAAUAGCAGUCUACAUUUUCUGCUUUGACUUCAUUGCUACAAAUUACUCCUUAAUAUUUAACUACUUGCAACUUGGCUCCAACUUCAUUGGAAUUAUUUUCUCCAAGGUCACCAAACUACCUCUUUAUUGAUAGACUCAGUAACAUCUUAAGAAUUUUUGUCCUCCAGGAGCUUUCUGCUGCAUUUGAUGUGACUGAUUUUAUCUUCUUCUUUGUGCAAUAAUGUCCAGCUUUGGCUGACCCAACAUUAUGCUCAUUAGGUUUUCCUCAUACCCUCUUUUUUUCUUUUUUUUGAGGAAGAUUAGCCCUGAGCUAACUGCUGCCCAUCCUCUCUUUUUGCUGAGGCAGACUGGCCCUGAGCUAACAUCCAUGCCCAUCUUCCUCUACUUUUUUUUAAUACGUGGGACGCCUACCACAGCAUGGUGUGCCAAGCGGUGCCAUGUCCAUACCCGGGAUCCGAACCGGUGAACCCCAGGCUCCAGAGAAGCAGAACGUGCAAACUUAACCACUGCGCCACCUGGCUGGCCCCUCCUCAUACCGUCUGAGCACUCUUCUUUCUCCUUCUGGGAGAUUCUUCCUCCAAAUACCCAUCAUAUGUGGCCCUUGUUAAAGGUUUUGUUCUUAGCCAUGUCUCUUUUUUACUUUAGGUGAACUUGAACAUUCUCAUUCUCUAGGGAAAGCUUCUAGCAUCUCUGAGGAUGAUUCACAAAUCUACAUUUCAGCUUUGUGCUCCAAAGCCAAAUGUCCAACUGCUUCUAAAUAUCCUUAGGCGUUCACAUUCAACAUGUCCCAAACCAAAUACUUCAUUAUCACCUUAAAGUCUGCCCCUGAAUUUCCUAAUUCUGAUAACGGACCCACCAUUCUCUCAGUCAUCCAGACUAGAAAUCCUGCUAUCUUUGACUUUUCCCAAUAUGGUUCUAUAUAGUAACUAGAAAAAAAAUAUGUAAAAGCUUAAGAAGAGUUGUAUGCUUGCUUUGGAGACAGUGAAGUAGGGAGAAACUGGGAAUUCACUCCUAAUUCAUAAGUGGUCUGGAGGGUGAGGCAGCCACUGAGAGAGCGUGCUGGCAGUCACUACAUCAGUGAAUUGCAAGUUCUGUUGGUAAUGCCUCCAAUAUGUUUCUCUUUCUGUCUCUUCCUUUCCGGCCACACUGCACUAGUUUAGUACCUUGUGUCGUUUGUCCUGGAUUAUUGUAAUAGCCUCCUAGAUGUAAGGCCGUGGGCUGGAUUCUCAACAUCUUCCUGCACAAGUCAGGACAAGAGAGAUGCGAGCAAGCAGUAAAACUUAGCCGCGGGUAGAGAGAGUGGGAAGGAGGGUGGUUAGCUGACGAUUAGAGAAACAUAAGGCAACAGUGUGCAGUGGACCUCAACAAAGUUGGUGCUGUCUUGGGUCACAGUUUCAGACCUAGAAUGAGAAAGGUGAUCAGACCUCUCUAGUUGGAGGGUGUCACAAAGUUGGAUCACUGCCUUCUGUUCUUGCAACAACACAUGAAAAGAAAUAGAGACAAGGGGCUGGCCAAGUGGCGCAGAGGUUAAGUUCCUGCAUUCCACUUUGGCGGUCUGGGGUUUGCAGGUUCGGAUCCCGGGUGUGGACCUACACACCACUUGUCAAGCCAUGCUGUGGCAGGCGUCCCACAUAUAAAGUAGAGGAAGAUGGGCACGGAUGUUAGCUCAGGGCCAAUCUUCCUCAGCAAAAAGAGGGGAUUGGCAGCGGAUGUUAGCUCAGGGCUAAUCUUCCUAAAAAAAAAAGAGACAAUAUGGAGUUUAUUUGAGAGAGUCAUCAGGGUAAUGAAGGGCCCUAAAGUUAUAUCUCAUGAAGAAUGUUGACUAACUGGAGAUAUUUAACUUGGAGAAAAUACAACAGAGAGAUUAUGGUUGGCUUCAUAUAUAUAAAAAACUAUCUUGUGGAAAUCACCUAAGAACUUUAUAAAUGUCAGUGUUGUCCUGAGAUGGAAUGCAUUCAUUUCAACAGAUAUUUGUUGUAUGCCUGCUCUGUGCCAGGCACUGAGGAUAUGUGAUAAGCAAGACAGUCCCUAUCAUCAUCGAACUUGAUUUCUGAUCUGACAGACAACAAGCGAAUGAACAAAUACGUAAAUGAGUAAUAUAAAUUCCAGAAAGUGAUGGGAUCAGAUGCUAGGAGUAUGUGAGCCUAGAUUUUGGGACCACUUGGCAGGAAGGUUUUAGAAGAGAUUUAAGCAUUAGAUGGAUUAUUGGAUCAGAUGACCUUAGGGGACCCUUCAACCCCAAGAAUUUAUGAUUCUGCUUUUCUACUAUUAUCUACCAAAUUAGGACUUCCUCUCAGAUACCCUAAGGCUUAGAAACCCCCAACUCCUUGCUAUUCCAGGAACAAGCCCUGUACUGCGGUUAGUGAGUCAGCAAUGACUCAGUGUGAGUAUUUGCCCAUGUGGUUCAUUUGCCUGGAAUGCCUUUCUCUAACUUCUCUGCCUCUCAAAAUCCUCCUUGUCCAACAAGGCUUAACCCAAAGAUAAACUUUUUAAUCAAGAUUUCUGGGUACCCUGAAAUAUGUUGUUCCCCACUCUGGCCCAGCAACACUCAGCUUGUAACACUAUUAAAGCCCUCACUGUGUUUUACUUGUAUUGGAGUUCACUAUUUCUCAGUCUGCUUCCCUACUAGCUUCUGAUUUUCUUGAGGGCAGGGACCAAAUCUUCCUUCUUUUAUAAUGGUCCAUAGUGCGAAUCUCCUAGUCAUUGCUUUGCACUCAGAAGAUAUUCAACAAAUAAAUGAAUGUGACUCCAGGCAAUAAAUACGUUCAUUAUUAUCUGAAGUGAAUUAGACAUGACCAUUGCUUUAAGUAGGAAAAGGAAUAACCUAUUGGUUUAACCAAGAAUCUUCUCUCCCAAUCUCUGCUAUAUCCCUCUCUGCUUACUAGCUAUGUAGCCCUGAGCACAUUGCCUAACAUCUUAAUGCCUCAGUUUCUUCGUGUAUACAAUGGCAAUAAUAAUAGUACCUACUUCAUAAGAUUUUUGCAAGGAUGAACAAUCCCCAUCAAGAGGCUAGGUCAGCACCUACCACAUAAUUAGCCCUCACUAAAUAUUAGCAAUUAUUAUUAUAAUGAUGAUUAGGCAUUCCUGCCCUCCAGUAGCUUUAAAAGUAUGGUUUCAUAGGAAGAAACAAGAAUUUUUGAACAGAAAUUACAAAAGAACGCAGAUGACUGAUUUUAUAUUAGGUAAAGCUUCCAUCAUCCCUAUUAGGCAAAGACAAUUUGACAUAUAAAAUUAAGAGGGAAGCCCCUACUUGUGUUGACUUGGAAAAUAGUGUAAUAGAAGAACUAACUAUAGUUACCAGCAAGAGCCCCUGUAGGGGAUGGGCCUUAGAGACAACCUCCCCUCUAUGGAAGAGAAAGAGAUGGUUCAGAGAGGUUCAGUGGUUUGCUCAAGGUCACACAGCUGACUGUCAGAAUGGGGAGACUAACGUUAACCUUCCAGGUCUGCCUGGCUCCUUAGCCCCUGCUCUUUCCACUGCACCCUGCUGCCUUCCAGUUGCAUGGC
rnacentral:lncRNA from 1 species